rnacentral:rRNA from 1 species
UCGAGAGAGCAUCGAACAACGGAUAGCUGUGAAUGCGUCAACGUGCCCCUUUCCUUGGCCCCAAUGUCGGAGGCCAACUGACCGUAGCUCGGUGCGAUCGGCACCAAGGAACAACGAACUCAGAAGCAGCGGGCCCUCGGCGUGCACGAGGAGCCCAUUGCAUAAGAGAUGCUUGGAAACGAAUGACUCUCGGCAAUGGAUAUCUCGGCUCUUGCAUCGAUGAAGAACGUAGUGAAAUGCGAUACUUGGUGUGAAUUGCAGAAUCUCGUGAACCAUUGAGUCUUUGAACGCAAGUUGUGCCCAAGGCUUUGUGGCCGAGGGCACGUCUGCUUGGGCGUCAUGGCAUCACCGCCUUUGCUCCAUGCUUUGCUGGUGCCAAGCGCGGAAAUUGACCUCGUGUGCCCUCGGACACAGUCGGUCAAAGAGCGGGCAGUCGGCAGUCGUCGGGCGCGAUGGGUGCUGGUAACCCCGCGCGUGAAUAGAACGUCGCCCUCGACGUGUCAGGACGAGUCCUCGAGAGACCCUGCGGGACUGCGGCAUCGCUUCGCGCGAAAGCGCCGUGUCCGUCGAAAUUGUGGCCCCCAAGUCAGGCGAGGCCCACCCGCCGGAGUUUAAGGCAUAUAAAUAAGGCGGGGGAGGGAGAAACUUUACGGAGGAUUCCCCCUAGUAACCGUCGAAGUAACCGGGGUAUCCGG